GAAACACACAGUCGUACCUCCUCCAGUCUUCAGCUGGGACUGAUGAAAGGUCCAGGUCAACACUCAUCUGGAAGGAUCCAUCGUGGUUGGGGAGGAUCUCUCCGAGGUCCACGUCCUCAUGAAGCUCCUCUCCAUCUUUCCUCCA